rnacentral:rRNA from 1 species
AUUGAACGCUGGCGGCAUGCCUUACACAUGCAAGUCGAACGGCAGCACGGGGGCAACCCUGGUGGCGAGUGGCGAACGGGUGAGUAAUGCAUCGGAACGUGCCCAGUAGUGGGGGAUAACCAGUCGAAAGACUGGCUAAUACCGCAUACGACCCAAGGGUGAAAGCGGGGGACCGUAAGGCCUCGCGCUAUUGGAGCGGCCGAUGUCUGAUUAGCUAGUUGGCGGGGUAAGAGCCCACCAAGGCGACGAUCAGUAGCUGGUCUGAGAGGACGACCAGCCAAACUGGGACGGAGACACGGCCCAGACUCCUACGGGAGGCAGCAGUGGGGAAUUUUGGACAAUGGGCGCAAGCCUGAUCCAGCCAUGCCGCGUGCGGGAAGAAGGCCUUCGGGUUGUAAACCGCUUUUGGCAGGAACGAAACGGCGCAGGCCAAUACCUUGCGCUAAUGACGGUACCUGCAGAAUAAGCACCGGCUAACUACGUGCCAGCCGCCGCGGUAACAC